AACGAACGCUGGCGGCAGGCCUAACACAUGCAAGUCGAACGCUCCGCAAGGGGAGUGGCAGACGGGUGAGUAACACGUGGGAAUCUUCCUGUUGGUGCGGAAUAGCUCAGGGAAACUUGGGGUAAUACCGCAUAAGCCCGAGAGGGGAAAGAUUUAUCGCCGACAGAUGAGCCCGCGUCUGAUUAGCUAGUUGGUGAGGUAACGGCUCACCAAGGCGACGAUCAGUAGCUGGUCUGAGAGGAUGACCAGCGACACUGGGACUGAGACACGGCCCAGACUCCUACGGGAGGCAGCAGUGGGGGAUAUUGGACAAUGGGCGCAAGCCUGAUCCAGCCAUGCCGCGUGAGUGACGAAGGUCUUCGGAUUGUAAAGCUCUUUUGCCAGGGACGAUAAUGACGGUACCUGGAGAAUAAGCCCCGGCUAACUUCGUGCCAGCCGCCGCCGUAAUAC
rnacentral:rRNA from 1 species